AUUGAACGCUGGCGGCAUGCUUUACACAUGCAAGUCGAACGGUAACAGGGAAAAGCUUGCUUUUCUGCUGACGAGUGGCGAACGGGUGAGUAAUACAUCGGAACGUGCCCUGUAGUGGGGGAUAACUACUCGAAAGAGUGGCUAAUACCGCAUACAACCUGAGGGUAAAAGUGGGGGACCGCAAGGCCUCACGCUAUAGGAGUGGCCGAUGGAAGAUUAGGUAGUUGGUAGGGUAAAGGCCUACCAAGCCGACGAUCUUUAGCGGGUCUGAGAGGACGAUCCGCCACACUGGGACUGAGACACGGCCCAGACUCCUACGGGAGGCAGCAGUGGGGAAUUUUGGACAAUGGGGGCAACCCUGAUCCAGCAAUGCCGCGUGAGUGAAGAAGGCCUCGGUUGUAAG
rnacentral:rRNA from 1 species